rnacentral:rRNA from 1 species
AAAAGCAGGGGAUCGAAAGACCUUGCGCUUAAGGAGCGGCUGAUGUCUGAUUAGCUAGUUGGUGGGGUAAAAGCUUACCAAGGCAACGAUCAGUAGCUGGUCUGAGAGGACGACCAGCCACACUGGGACUGAGACACGGCCCAGACUCCUACGGGAGGCAGCAGUGGGGAAUUUUGGACAAUGGGCGAAAGCCUGAUCCAGCCAUGCCGCGUGAGUGAAGAAGGCCUUCGGGUUGUAAAGCUCUUUUAGUCGGAAAGAAAGAGUCAUAGUAAAUAGCUAUGAUUUAUGACGGUACCGACAGAAAAAGCACCGGCUAACUACGU